CAUGCAAGUCGAGCGGUAGCACAGAGAGCUUGCUCUCGGGUGACGAGCGGCGGACGGGUGAGUAAUGUCUGGGAAACUGCCUGAUGGAGGGGGAUAACUACUGGAAACGGUAGCUAAUACCGCAUAACGUCGCAAGACCAAAGUGGGGGACCUUCGGGCCUCAUGCCAUCAGAUGUGCCCAGAUGGGAUUAGCUUGUAGGUGGGGUAACGGCUCACCUAGGCGACGAUCCCUAGCUGGUCUGAGAGGAUGACCAGCCACACUGGAACUGAGACACGGUCCAGACUCCUACGGGAGGCAGCAGUGGGGAAUAUUGCACAAUGGGCGCAAGCCUGAUGCAGCCAUGCCGCGUGUGUGAAGAAGGCCUUCGGGUUGUAAAGCACUUUCAGCGAGGAGGAAGGCGUUGUAGUUAAUAACUGCAGCGAUUGACGUUACUCGCAGAAGAAGCACCGGCUAACUCCGUGCCAGCAGCCGCGGUAAUACGGAGGGUGCAAGCGUUAAUCGGAAUUACUGGGCGUAAAGCGCACGCAGGCGGUCUGUUAAGUCAGAUGUGAAAUCCCCGGGCUUAACCUGGGAACUGCAUUUGAAACUGGCAGGCUAGAGUCUCGUAGAGGGGGGUAGAAUUCCAGGUGUAGCGGUGAAAUGCGUAGAGAUCUGGAGGAAUACCGGUGGCGAAGGCGGCCCCCUGGAC
rnacentral:rRNA from 1 species